rnacentral:rRNA from 1 species
UACGUAGGAGGCGAGCGUUGUCCGGAGUUACUGGGCGUAAAGGGUGCGCAGGCGGUGGCCCGCGUGGGCGGUGAAAGCUCCUGGCUCAACUGGGAGAGGGCCGUCCAGACGGGGUCACUUGAGGGGCGGAGAGGGGCGUGGAAUUCCGGGUGGAGCGGUGAAAUGCGUAGAGAUCGGAAAGAACACCAACGGCGAAAGCACUCUGCUGGGCCGACACUGACACUGAGAGACGAAAGCUAGGGGAGCGAAUGGG